GACGAACGCUGGCGGCGUGCUUAACACAUGCAAGUCGAACGGAAAGGCCCUGCUUUUGUGGGGUGCUCGAGUGGCGAACGGGUGAGUAACACGUGAGUAACCUGCCCUUGACUUUGGGAUAACUUCAGGAAACUGGGGCUAAUACCGGAUAGGAGCUCCUGCUGCAUGGUGGGGGUUGGAAAGUUUCGGCGGUUGGGGAUGGACUCGCGGCUUAUCAGCUUGUUGGUGGGGUAGUGGCUUACCAAGGCUUUGACGGGUAGCCGGCCUGAGAGGGUGACCGGCCACAUUGGGACUGAGAUACGGCCCAGACUCCUACGGGAGGCAGCAGUGGGGAAUAUUGCACAAUGGGCGGAAGCCUGAUGCACCAACUCCGCGUGCGGGAUGACGGCCUUCGGGUUGUAAACCGCUUUCGCCUGUGACGAAGCGUGAGUGACGGUAAUGGGUAAAGAAGCACCGGCUAACUACGUGCCAGCAGCCGCGGUGAUACGUAGGGUGCGAGCGUUGUCCGGAUUUAUUGGGCGUAAAGGGCUCGUAGGUGGUUGAUCGCGUCGGAAGUGUAAUCUUGGGGCUUAACCCUGAGCGUGCUUUCGAUACGGGUUGACUUGAGGAAGGUAGGGGAGAAUGGAAUUCCUGGUGGAGCGGUGGAAUGCGCAGAUAUCAGGAGGAACACCAGUGGCGAAGGCGGUUCUCUGGGCCUUUCCUGACGCUGAGGAGCGAAAGCGUGGGGAGCGAACAGGCUUAGAUACCCUGGUAGUCCACGCUGUAAACGGUGGGUACUAGGUGUGGGGUCCAUUCCACGGGUUCCGUGCCGUAGCUAACGCUUUAAGUACCCCGCCUGGGGAGUACGGCCGCAAGGCUAAAACUCAAAGGAAUUGACGGGGCCCCGCACAAGCGGCGGAGCAUGCGGAUUAAUUCGAUGCAACGCGUAGAACCUUACCUGGGUUUGACAUGGAUCGGGAGCGCUCAGAGAUGGGUGUGCCUCUUUUGGGGUCGGUUCACAGGUGGUGCAUGGCUGUCGUCAGCUCGUGUCGUGAGAUGUUGGGUUAAGUCCCGCAACGAGCGCAACCCUUGUUCACUGUUGCCAGCACGUUAUGGUGGGGACUCAGUGGAGACCGCCGGGGUCAACUCGGAGGAAGGUGGGGAUGACGUCAAGUCAUCAUGCCCCUUAUGUCCAGGGCUUCACGCAUGCUACAAUGGCUGGUACAGAGAGUGGCGAGCCUGUGAGGGUGAGCGAAUCUCGGAAAGCCGGUCUCAGUUCGGAUUGGGGUCUGCAACUCGACCUCAUGAAGUCGGAGUCGCUAGUAAUCGCAGAUCAGCAACGCUGCGGUGAAUACGUUCCCGGGGCU
rnacentral:rRNA from 1 species